CCCCUCUCAGGAUCGCACCUGGAGAGUUUCCAGUACUCUACCAGUCUCGACUACAGGAGGGAGAGUCAAGCAGAAGCCUAUCCAUUCCAUUCCUACCUUGGGCAGUGGCUAGCGAGUAUAAGGCAAUCUGCUACAACU
rnacentral:snoRNA from 1 species